CGAUUAAGUUAUUAAGGGCGCACGGUGGAUGCCUUGGCACUAGAAGCCGAUAAAGGACGUUACUAACGACGAUAUGCUUUGGGGAGCUGUAAGUAAGCUGUGAUCCAGAGAUUUCCGAAUGGGGAAACCCAGCACGAGUUAUGUCGUGUUAUCGACAUGUGAAUAUAUAUCAUGUCUGA
rnacentral:rRNA from 1 species